AGUGAACGCUGGCGGCAGGCCUAACACAUGCAAGUCGAGCGGCAGCGCGUCCGACCACCCUCGGGUGGUCGGAUGGCGGCGAGCGGCGGACGGGUGAGGAAUGCAUCGGAAUCUGCCUCGUUGUGGGGGAUAACGUAGGGAAACUUACGCUAAUACCGCAUACGACCUACGGGUGAAAGUGGGGGACCUUCGGGCCUCACGCGAUGAGAUGAGCCGAUGCCGGAUUAGCUAGUUGGCGGGGUAAAGGCCCGCCAAGGCGACGAUCCGUAGCUGGUCUGAGAGGAUGAUCAGCCACACUGGAACUGAGACACGGUCCAGACUCCUACGGGAGGCAGCAGUGGGGAAUAUUGGACAAUGGGGGCAACCCUGAUCCAGCCACGCCGCGUGUGUGAAGAAGGCCUU
rnacentral:rRNA from 1 species